rnacentral:rRNA from 1 species
UACGUAGGGUGCGAGCGUUAAUCGGAAUUACUGGGCGUAAAGCGUGCGUAGACGGUUAUUUAAGUCGGGUGUGAAAGCCCCGGGCUCAACCUGGGAAUUGCAUUCGAGACUGAAUAGCUAGGGUACGGUAGAGGGAAGCGGAAUUUCCGGUGUAGCGGUGAAAUGCGUAGAUAUCGGAAGGAACAUCAGUGGCGAAAGCGACUUCCUGGACCAAUACUGACGCUCAUGUGCGAAAGCGUGGGGAGCAAACAGG